AAGCUGACGUUCACAAAGAAAAAGCCAAAGCAGCUUCAUCAAAGAAAGAGUCCAAGAAACUAAGGAACAAGCCAAUCCAGAGACUGCAAAAAAAGACCGUGAAGUUCCCAAAGAACAGACCAAAGCAGCUACAUCAAAGAAAGAUGCUGAAACAAAAGAAAAGGCCAAAUUAGCCCCAGAAAAGAAAGGUACGAAAUUAAUUUAGAAUUGUUAAUUCUCCACUUAUUCAAAUAAUAAGUAGGCAGCCAAUGGGGCGGCAGCGGAGCCUAGUGGUUAGAGCGUUGAACUAGUAA